rnacentral:rRNA from 1 species
AGAGUUUGAUCCUGGCUCAGGAUGAACGCUGGCGGCGUGCUUAACACAUGCAAGUCGAACGGAGUUAAGUGCUUCGGUAUUUAACUUAGUGGCGAACGGGUGAGUAACGCGUGAGAAACCUGCCUUUCAGUGGGGGACAACAGUUGGAAACGACUGCUAAUACCGCAUGAUACUUUUUGGGGGCAUCCCUGAAAAGUCAAAGCUUUAUGUGCUGAAAGAUGGUCUCGCGUCUGAUUAGCUAGUUGGUGAGGUAAUGGCUCACCAAGGCGACGAUCAGUAGCCGGUCUGAGAGGAUGAACGGCCACAUUGGGACUGAGAUACGGCCCAGACUCCUACGGGAGGCAGCAGUGGGGAAUAUUGGGCAAUGGGGGAAACCCUGACCCAGCAACGCCGCGUGAAGGAAGAAGGCUUUCGGGUUGUAAACUUCUUUUAGCAGGGACGAAGGACGUGACGGUACCUGCAGAAAAAGCAACGGCUAACUACGUGCCAGCAGCCGCGGUAAUACGUAGGUUGCAAGCGUUGUCCGGAUUUACUGGGUGUAAAGGGCGUGUAGGCGGAGAUGCAAGUUGGGAGUGAAAUCCCGGGGCUCAACCCCGGAACUGCUUUCAAAACUGUAUCCCUUGAGUGUCGGAGAGGCAAGCGGAAUUCCUAGUGUAGCGGUGAAAUGCGUAGAUAUUAGGAGGAACACCAGUGGCGAAGGCGGCUUGCUGGACGAUAACUGACGCUGAGGCGCGAAAGCGUGGGGAGCAAACAGGGAUUAGAUACCCUGGUAGUCCACGCUGUAAACGAUGAAUACUAGGUGUGGGAGGGCUGACCCCUUCCGUGCCGCAGUUACUACAAUAAGUAUUCCACCUGGGGAGUACGACCGCAAGGUUGAAACUCAAAGGAAUUGACGGGGGCCCGCACAAGCAGUGGAUUAUGUGGUUUAAUUCGACGCAACGCGAAGAACCUUACCAGGAUUUGACAUCCUACUAAGGUCGCAGAGAUGCGACUGUGCCCUUCGGGGAAAGUAGAGACAGGUGGUGCAUGGUUGUCGUCAGCUCGUGUCGUGAGAUGUUGGGUUAAGUCCCGCAACGAGCGCAACCCCUAUUGUUAGUUGCUACGCAAGAGCACUCUAGCGAGACUGCCGUUGACAAAACGGAGGAAGGCGGGGACGACGUCAAAUCAUCAUGCCCCUUAUGUCCUGGGCUACACACGUAAUACAAUGGUGGUAAACAGAGGGAAGCAAGACUGCGAAGUGGAGCAAAUCCCUAAAAGCCAUCUCAGUUCGGACUGCAGGCUGCAACUCGCCUGCAUGAAGCUGGAAUUGCUAGUAAUCGCGGAUCAGCAUGCCGCGGUGAAUACGUUCCCGGGCCUUGUACACAAAGCCCGUCA